rnacentral:misc_RNA from 1 species
UCUCCGUAGGUGAACCUGCGGAGGGAUCAUUAACGAGUUAGGGCCUCCGUGCCCGACCUCCAACCCCCUUGUAUCACUACACCUCGUUGCCACGGGGGUGGGCCUGCCUCACGGCGGGCCCCCAGGAGGCCCACUCAAACACUGCAUAUUAAUGUCUUCCGAUAUAGUUUUUAAAUGAAAUCAAAACUUUCAACAACGGAUCUCUUGGUUCUG